rnacentral:rRNA from 1 species
CGCUACACAUGCAGUCGAACGGUAACAGGAAGAAGCUUGCUCUUUGCUGACGAGUGGCGGACGGGUGAGUAAUGUCUGGGAAACUGCCUGAUGGAGGGGGAUAACUACUGGAAACGGUAGCUAAUACCGCAUAACGUCGCAAGACCAAAGAGGGGGACCUUCGGGCCUCUUGCCAUCGGAUGUGCCCAGAUGGGAUUAGCUUGUAGGUGGGGUAACGGCUCACCUAGGCGACGAUCCCUAGCUGGUCUGAGAGGAUGACCAGCCACACUGGAACUGAGACACGGUCCAGACUCCUACGGGAGGCAGCAGUGGGGAAUAUUGCACAAUGGGCGCAAGCCUGAUGCAGCCAUGCCGCGUGUAUGAAGAAGGCCUUCGGGUUGUAAAGUACUUUCAGCGGGGAGGAAGGGAGUAAAGUUAAUACCUUUGCUCAUUGACGUUACCCGCAGAAGAAGCACCGGCUAACUCCGUGCCAGCAGCCGCGGUAAUACGGAGGGUGCAAGCGUUAAUCGGAAUUACUGGGCGUAAAGCGCACGCAGGCGGUUUGUUAAGUCAGAUGUGAAAUCCCCGGGCUCAACCUGGGAACUGCAUCUGAUACUGGCAAGCUUGAGUCUCGUAGAGGGGGGUAGAAUUCCAGGUGUAGCGGUGAAAUGCGUAGAGAUCUGGAGAAUACCGGUGGCGAAGGCGGCCCCCUGGACGAAGACUGACGCUCAGGUGCGAAAGCGUGGGGAGCAGACAGGAUUAUAUACCCUGGUAGUCCACGCCAUAAACGAUGUCGACUUGGAGGUUGUGCCCUUGAGGCGUGGCUUCCGAGCUAACGCGUUAAGUCGACCGCCUGGGGAGUACGGCCGAAGGUUAAAACUCAAAUGAAUUGAAGGGGCCCGCACAAGCGGUGGAACAUGUUAAUUCGAUGCACCGCUUACUUGUCUGACAAGUUGUGA